CGGAAUGUGGCGUAGUAUGGUAGCGUUUCUGCUUUGGGAGCAGAAGGUCAUAGGUUCAAAUCCUAUCUUUCCGA
rnacentral:tRNA from 1 species